CCUACGGGUGGCAGCAGUGAGGAAUAUUGGUCAAUGGGCGGAAGCCUGAACCAGCCAAGUCGCGUGAGGGAAUAAGGCCCUACGGGUCGUAAACCUCUUUUGCCGGGGAGCAAGGGCGGGGACGUGUCCCGUCCCGGAGAGUACCCGGAGAAAAAGCAUCGGCUAACUCCGUGCCAGCAGCCGCGGUAAUACGGAGGAUGCGGGCGUUCUCCGGUUUUAUUGGGUUUAAAGGGGGCGUGGGCGGACUUUUCAGUCAGGGGUAAAAAUUCGGGGCUCAACCCCGGCCGGCCGUUAAAACUGGGGCCUUGAGUGGGCGAGAAGAAGGCGGAAUGCGUGGUGUAGCGGUGAAAUGCAUAGAUAUCACGCAGAACCCCGAUUGCGAAGGCAGCCUUCCGGCGCCCUACUGACGCUGAGGCACGAAAGUGCGGGGAUCGAACAGGAUUAGAUACCCCUGUAGUC
rnacentral:rRNA from 1 species